CCUAUACGACUAGCUCGAUGCUUUUGAGUGUUCACACAGAUUGCUUGUUUAUCCUGUCUUAGGACGGGUAGAGCGAAACAUCCCUCUAGCAGGUCGAUGUAGUUCUUUAACAAUUUGGAAAGCUGAUAGUAUUAAACACAAUGAUGUCUGUCGUUGUGUUGAUACGAAAAAAGUUUAAUGCGAAAGCAUUAAACAUUGAGUUCUCAAACACUUUAUUAAGUGUCUUGAAUAUUCAAGUCUAAGGCGCGUCCACUUCUUUGGUUAGAAGUGAGACAAGUAAAACCAGCUGGUCGCAACAAUUCAAGUGAAACUCAUUUGGGUUGUAU
rnacentral:misc_RNA from 1 species